AACUUUCAACAACGGAUCUCUUGGUUCUCGCAUCGAUGAAGAACGCAGCGAAAUGCGAUAAGUAGUGUGAAUUGCAGAAUUCAGUGAAUCAUCGAAUCUUUGAACGCACAUUGCGCCUCCUGGUAUUCCGGGAGGCAUGCCUGUUCGAGCGUCAUGA
rnacentral:rRNA from 3 species